AAACAACUUGUGCUCCAAAGAAUACCCUUAGAGCACAAGCUGUUUUUUGGCAUCUGUGAUGUUUUUCCAAGGAAUAUAAGUAUUCCUUAACCUCAUCAGUUAUUCGCUGAAAUUGCAAAGAAAAAAGCUGAUAUUGUGCCAGUUCAGUACAGGAGGGUGAAGUGUGAGAGAAGUUGGGGGCUGAGAUUCAUGAUGAGUGGCUAUAUUUUAUGGAAGAUGUAAUUAUUUAAAAUUAAAGUUAUGCCACUGCUUCGUUGUAUUCUGACUUUAAUGGCUAUAUUUGAUUUAUGUGUUAUUUGUCUUUGGAGAAACAGAAAAUAUCAGAGAGGCUGAGAAAAUCUUAGAGAAAACAUUCAGAGAGAAGUUGUAUUUUUAAUUGAA